UGGCUCAGGAUGAACGCUAGGCGGCAGGCUUAAUACAUGCAAGUCGAGGGGCAGCGCAGGUAGCAAUACCGGGCGGCGACCGGCAAACGGGUGCGGAACACGUACGCAACCUUCCUUUCAGCGGGGGAUAGCCCAGAGAAAUUUGGAUUAAUACCCCAUAGGAUAGUAGAGUGGCAUCACUCAGCUAUUAAAGAUUUAUUACUGAAAGAUGGGCGUGCGUCUGAUUAGGUAGUUGGUGAGGUAACGGCUCACCAAGCCGACGAUCAGUAACUGGUGUGAGAGCACGACCAGUCACACGGGCACUGAGACACGGGCCCGACUCCUACGGGAGGCAGCAGUAAGGAAUAUUGGUCAAUGGACGCAAGUCUGAACCAGCCAUGCCGCGUGAAGGAUGAAGGUCCUCUGGAUUGUAAACUUCUUUUAUCAGGGAAGAAAUGUGAGCUUUCCAGCUCAUUUGACGGUACCUGAUGAAUAAGCACCGGCUAACUCCGUG
rnacentral:rRNA from 1 species